rnacentral:rRNA from 1 species
UCAUUUAAAGAAAGCGUAAUAGCUCACUGGUCGAGUCGGCCUGCGCGGAAGAUGUAACGGGGCUAAACCAUGCACCGAAGCUGCGGCAGCGAACGUAUCACUUAAAGCGAUUCAGCGGGUUACGAUUGACGGAGCGAAGCGACGUCAAAGCGUAUACAAAGUCGAGUCGGUUUAAGGAUACGUUCGUUGGGUAGGGGAGCGUUCUGUAAGCCUGUGAAGGUGGCCUGUGAGGGUUGCUGGAGGUAUCAGAAGUGCGAAUGCUGACAUAAGUAACGAUAAAGCGGGUGAAAAGCCCGCUCGCCGGAAGACCAAGGGUUCCUGUCCAA